GUGUUAAUUAAUAACUUUGCCCAACAAAGAUUCCAUUUCUGAAAUGCUUCAUUAUGGCCAGUUUUUUUUUCUUUGGACAAGACAUUCAUUGGAGUUUGUAAGAGAAAAAUACAUAGGGACGCGGUGCGGCGUGCCUACAAAGGUGCACAGGUGUGGUAAAAAAAAGGGUCAGAAUAUUUUUUUUUCAAGGAGUGCACUUGCCCAUGACAGGCCAGCAACUUCCCCGAGCAUUCUUUAAUGAUCCUUCCGCAGGUUCACCUACGGAAA
rnacentral:misc_RNA from 1 species